CCAAAAUGUGCCUGUACACGGCCCCCCGCGCCGGGGACAGCCCCCGGGGGUCCGGAGCCCUGGGCAGGGUGGUGCAGGAGGUGCUGGAGAGGGCCAGGGAGGAGAGGUUUCGCUUCGACCCCCCCGAUGGGGAGGGUGGGGAAAGGGACAUCGCUGGGGUGCCCCUGGGGACGUCACCGCACGGAGCCCGGGGGUCUCCGCAGGCACCCCCGUGGCCGGAGGGGGGUGUCCCCGAGUGUCACCAGCAGCCGGGGCUGUCCCCAAGGCUGUCCCCAGAGGGGAUGGACACUGCCGAGGAGCGUCCCCGCUGCCUGAGCCCUUCGCUGGGGGGUCUGCCGUGGGCUGGGGGUGCUCCGUGCCCCGUGGGGACAGGACAGGGUGGCACCGAGGAUGGGCAGCCGUGGGGGGACCUCACCUUGUCCCCAGCUCCGUGCGCCACGGCCACCGGUGGCGGGUGGGUGUGCGCCACUCCCGAGCAGCCGGGAGCCGAGGGGGACUCCGGGUUUGGCUCCAGCCCCUGGGGGUCCUCCCCCGGGGGGGGGAAGGAAGGGGCUGAGCCCCCCGGUGAGCCCCUGGACUCCUGUGGGGCAUCGUCCCCGUGGUCCCACCAGCCGAGAGAUGGAGGCCAACGGGCCCGGCGGAGCAGGGGACGGCACCGGGGGGGUGACCCGAGGGACAGCAGCCGGUGGCAGGGGGACGCACGGGGGCUGCACCCCCAAGGGAAGGCUCCGGCACUGGGGGGGGCUCUCCCCCCAUCACCCCAGCUGGGCAGAGACGCGCAGCGGAGAGGCCCCGGACUCCUUCGAGAUGGAAGAGGUGCCGAGCGCCGGCGAGGACGACGGCGAUGCCCACGAGGAAACCGGCUGCUCCCUCCCUCCCUCCCUGCGGGUCCGGAGAACGCGCCCCCUCCCCACUCUCCAGGCUUGAUGCUGCAGGGCUGCAGCGGCCACUCCGACAGCAGCGGCUUCGUGGAGGAGCCGCUGCCCGAGCAGACGCCGUGAGACCCCCGAGGGACCCCCUGCUCGCCCCCACCGCGGUGCCAGCACCGGCUGGAAGCCGCCGAGGGGUGCACGAGGGAUUUUGCCCCCCCCCAUCCCAGCGUUUCAGACCCCGGAGCCCGUCCUCAGCCGAGAGCUGAGCACCGCAUGGAGCCGUGGGUCUGGGUGUGAGCGUGCGUGCACGUGUGUGUGUGUGUGUGUGUGCGUGUGCUGCACCAGGAACCUCUCAACUCAGGACUUUUACCCCCAAAACCACCAGCAUCCCCCCCCCCCCCCACCCCCCUUCGCCCUGUUUUUGUUUUCAGGGCUUCACUAGCACUUUGGAAACGCUCUGCUCCCCGGGCGCGUGUAACACUAGGACGGGGUUUUUCGGGGCAGAGCCCACAGCACACUGGAAAUAAAAUUCCCCAAGGGAUCA
rnacentral:lncRNA from 1 species